UUUCCGUAGGUGAACCUGCGGAAGGAUCAUUAUUGAGCCCUGCCCUCACGGGUAGACCUCCAACCCUGUGUAUUUAUACCAUUGUUGCUUCGGCAGGCCGUCUAGGUUUCGGCCUGGCUAUGGGCUUCGGCUGGGGUGUGCCUGCCAGAGGACCCCCAACUCUGUGUUUAGUGUCGUCUGAGUAUUAUAUUAAUACGUUAAAACUUUCAACAACGGAUCUCUUGGUUCUGGCAUCGAUGAAGAACGCAGC
rnacentral:misc_RNA from 1 species